rnacentral:lncRNA from 1 species
GUCAUCCAAAUUUGGACGUCGUGCCUCCUCCGGUCCUCCCUCCAUGCCGGUUGUUCCUUCCUCUGCAACAACACACAGGUACUCUAUCACCCUAAUCACCGCAGCAGCGGCCAAUAAUACCUAUCACUCGUCAUUCGUGAGGAUAUGAUUUUCUUCCUUGAUUCGAUUUGAUUUCCAUGGGUUGGUAAUUGUGUUCCUGCGGUUUAACAGGACGUCACAUGGAUUGAUUCAUUGGCUGGGACGAGAACCAAGACAAGAUACGCUACUGCAAAAUCAACAUGGAGUUUGCCCUCUGAAUGACAUGUGUUCUGGAACUAAUGAUUUCCUGAUUCUAUUGCUAUGUAGUGCGUGUGUACUCAUUAAUCAACCCCGUAGGAGUAGGUUGUCAGAAAGAAAAGAAAAUGCCUUCA